UAGCUCAGUUGGUAGAGCAUCUGACUUUUAAUCAGAGGGUCAGAGGUUCGAAUCC
rnacentral:tRNA from 1 species